rnacentral:lncRNA from 1 species
CCGGCUCGUCAUCUACUCCCCUCGCUAGGCAUCUUUGCCGAGGGCGUACGGCUCGCCAUUUCCUUUUAUCGCGCCCAACUGCCCUCCCGCCGUCACGGCAAAUUCCAGCUCCCGCGACCGCGACAUUGCACCCUCGCCACCGCGACCAGCCCGUGCCUCCACAUUCAUCCGUCGCCAUGUACAAACCUGUACGGCCCCAUUCGUUGAACAAGUGAAGAAACUGGAUUGUGGAAUGCUCCUCUUUCUCAGUGUUCGCCAGGAAGGAUAGAUCCGGAGGCGCAUCGUACGGGUGGAGAUUUGGACCAAUCCACUGUAGGAUUGAUGCACCGGCGUUUGCUUCCUCCUACAAGCUUCGAAGGCCUAAUGUCAGCAAAUCUGUCCCAUGCCAAUCGAAUAAACAGGGAUGAAUCCUACACAGAUUUUGGAACCGGAAGGCAUAUGUGGACCAGAACACUUAUGUGCAGAUUGAAGUGGAUUUUUGCCAGACAAAUCUCUCUGCUUGCAUGAUUGAAGUGCAUAUGUGGCCCAAUACACUUAUAUGCUCUUAUUCCUCACUGCCAUCUCAUUUCUAAAGUUGGAAAGAUUGAACUGAACCUUGCUCUGAACUUUUUUCCUUCUUUGUUUUCUUAUUGUUGCAGGGAGGCAAUCCUUUGGAUUUCAAAAUGUAGUUGAUCUAAUUCAUGCAUAUGCUGCCAAAGCUGUUACUGAACAACUAGACCAAAAUGAGAACCUUGUAUCAGUCAAUGCAGAUGUCUGCAAUUUCUGGGAAAAGGAUGUUAUGCCGAUGCUUUUCUGUAGGAGUUGCAGAUUUUUUUUUAAAAAAAAAACUUCAGCCGAAACAGGAUGUUAUAUCGAAACAUUGAAUUAGCAGUGGAUCGUGUUCAGAAAGUUGGGUUCAUUGUAGGGAUCAGCUUCCAGGGGUUGGUUCGUUGCAGGAUCAAUUGCCAACCUACCACUGAGUCUAAAUUUAGAGUCUGUUGGUUACCCACCCUUCAGGAAGUUCUAUAUUUUAUAAAGCCAUCUCCAAAACUCUAAAAUUAGCUAGGAAUUAUAGCUAUGCUGUUGGAGUUGCUCUCAGUUCCUUACACCAGUUGUUUCUUUAAUUCAGGAUGCCCAGAACUUGAAGAAGAUGAAGCGCAACAGCAAAAUUGGAAAAGAAAUUGUUGCGGCGUAGGUGUUGCUGGACACUGUGAACUUGCACUAUCAUUUUAACAGCUUGGUAUUUCAUUGAUUUCAUAAUUUGGAUUAUUUUGAGCAUAUGGUUAAUCCAACAUGCUGUCAUCUGCUAGUAUAUGUUGACAUAAGAUGUUUUACCUUUUUGGCCGUUUAAACUUAAAUCAUUGGACAUCUGUUCC